GCCGACCUCAACACAUUCGCCCCAUUCCAGUGUUAGUCUUCUCUCAUCAUUUCACUCAAGGCAUGCUCAUCACAUUCACCGGUGUGUAAUAUCUGUUCGAAAUAGAGCAACAUAGUGUAAUAUUUGUGUGAAUAUUUUAACAAUAAAAGAGUUUUUUUUAAAACCCUUUG
rnacentral:misc_RNA from 1 species